CCUANGGGUGGCAGCAGUGGGGAAUCUUGCACAAUGGGGGAAACCCUGAUGCAGCGACGCCGCGUGAGCGAUGAAGCCCUUCGGGGUGUAAAGCUCUUUCGGCGGGGACGAUAAUGACGGUACCCGCAUAAGCAGCUGCGGCUAACUACGUGCCAGCAGCCGCGGUAAUACGUAGGCAGCAAGCGUUGUUCGGAAUUACUGGGCGUAAAGGGCGUGUAGGCGGGAUGGCAAGUCGGUCGUGAAAUCCUUCGGCUCAACCGAAGAACGUCGAUCGAUACUGCCGUUCUUGAGGGUUGCAGAGGAGACUGGAAUUCCCGGUGUAGCGGUGAAAUGUGUAGAGAUCGGGAGGAACACCGGUGGCGAAGGCGGGUCUCUGGGCAAUUCCUGACGCUGAGGCGCGAAAGCGUGGGGAGCAAACGGGAUUAGAUACCCCANUANUC
rnacentral:rRNA from 1 species